rnacentral:tRNA from 1 species
GGCCUGAUAGUUCAGUGGUAGAAUUCUUGCUUUGGGUUUAAUUGUAAGAGGUCUCCGGUUCGAUCCCGGAUUAGGCCC